GCGAACGCUGGCGGCAGGCUUAACACAUGCAAGUCGAGCGGGCCCUUCGGGGUCAGCGGCAGACGGGUGAGUAACACGUGGGAACGUACCCUUUGGUUCGGAAUAACGCUGGGAAACUAGCGCUAAUACCGGAUACGCCCUUUUGGGGAAAGGCUUGCUGCCGAAGGAUCGGCCCGCGUCUGAUUAGCUAGUUGGUGGGGUAAUGGCCUACCAAGGCGACGAUCAGUAGCUGGUCUGAGAGGAUGAUCAGCCACACUGGGACUGAGACACGGCCCAGACUCCUACGGGAGGCAGCAGUGGGGAAUAGUGGACAAUGGGCGCAAGCCUGAUCCAGCCAUGCCGCGUGAGUGAUGAAGGCCUUAGGGUUGUAAAGCUCUUUUGUCCGGGACGAUAAUGACGGUACCGGAAGAAUAAGCCCCGGCUAACUUCGUG
rnacentral:rRNA from 1 species